UUCCCUUAGUAACUGCGAGUGAAGCGGGAAAAGCUCAAAUUUAAAAUCUGGUGGUCUUUUGGCCAUCCGAGUUGUAAUUUAGAGAAGCGUCUUCCGCGCUGGACCGUACACAAGUCUCCUGGAACGGAGCGUCAUAGAGGGUGAGAAUCCCGUCUUUGGUACGGACCCCCAGGGCUUCUGUGAUGCGCUCUCGAAGAGUCGAGUUGUUUGGGAAUGCAGCUCAAAAUGGGUGGUGAACUCCAUCUAAAGCUAAAUAUUGGCGAGAGACCGAUAGCGAACAAGUACCGUGAGGGAAAGAUGAAAAGCACUUUGGAAAGAGAGUGAAACAGUACGUGAAAUUGUUGAAAGGGAAACGCUUAAAGUCAGUCGCGUCGACCGAGACUCAGCCUCGCUCCGGCUUGGUGUAUUUCUCGGCCCGACGGGUCAGCGUCAAUUUGGUCCCUCGGAUAAUGGCAACGGAAAGGUGGCACCUUUGCGGGUGUGUUAUAGUCUUUUGUCGCAUGCGAGGGGCGAGAUUGAGGAACUCAGCACGCACGCCCUUCUGGGUGUGUCGGGGCCUCGGCCCACGCCACGUGCUUAGGAUGCUGGCGUAAUGGCUUUAAACGACCCGUCUUGAAACACGGACCAAGGAGUCUAACAUGCCCGCGAGUGUUCGGGUGGAAAACCCGUGCGCGUAAUGAAAGUGAAAGUUGGGACCUUCGUCGUGAAGGGCACCGACGCCCGGACCAGACCUUCUGUGACGGAUCUGCGGUGGAGCGUGCAUGUUGGGACCCGAAAGAUGGUGAACUAUGCCUGAAUAGGGUGAAGCCAGAGGAAACUCUGGUGGAGGCUCGUAGCGAUUCUGACGUGCAAAUCGAUCGUCAAAUUUGGGUAUAGGGG
rnacentral:rRNA from 1 species